GAUGAACGCUGGCGGCGUGCUUAACACAUGCAAGUCGAACGAUGAUCCGGUGCUUGCGCCGGUGAUUAGUGGCGAACGGGUGAGUAACACGUGAGUAACCUGCCCCCGACUCUGGGAUAAGCCCGGGAAACUGGGUCUAAUACCGGAUAUUCACUUCCCUCCGCAUGGAGGGUGGUGGAAAGGUCUUUUCCGGUCGGGGAUGGACUCGCGGCCUAUCAGCUUGUUGGUGGGGUAGUGGCCCACCAAGGCGACGACGGGUAGCCGGCCUGAGAGGGUGACCGGCCACACUGGGACUGAGACACGGCCCAGACUCCUACGGGAGGCAGCAGUGGGGAAUAUUGCACAAUGGGCGCAAGCCUGAUGCAGCGACGCCGCGUGAGGGAUGACGGCCUUCGGGUUGUAAACCUCUUUCAGUAGGGAAGAAGCGAAAGUGACGGUACCUGCAGAAGAAGCGCCGGCUAACUACGUGCCAGCAGCCGCGGUAAUACGUAGGGCGCAAGCGUUAUCCGGAAUUAUUGGGCGUAAAGAGCUCGUAGGCGGUUUGUCGCGUCUGCCGUGAAAGUCCGGGGCUCAACCCCGGAUCUGCGGUGGGUACGGGCAGACUUGAGUGCAGUAGGGGAGACUGGAAUUCCUGGUGUAGCGGUGAAAUGCGCAGAUAUCAGGAGGAACACCGAUGGCGAAGGCAGGUCUCUGGGCUGUAACUGACGCUGAGGAGCGAAAGCAUGGGGAGCGAACAGGAUUAGAUACCCUGGUAGUCCAUGCCGUAAACGUUGGGCACUAGGUGUGGGGGACAUUCCACGUUUUCCGCGCCGUAGCUAACGCAUUAAGUGCCCCGCCUGGGGAGUACGGCCGCAAGGCUAAA
rnacentral:rRNA from 1 species